AAUGAACGCUGGCGGCAGGCCUAACACAUGCAAGUCGAGCGAACACACAAGGAGCUCGCUCCCUUGCCGUUGGCGGCGGACGGGCGAGUAACGCGUGCAUCACCAACUUCUUUUACGUGGGUAACAACGGGAGAAAGGAGCUGCUACUGCAUAAUAUGUUCUACGGCAGGGAUCAGUAGUGCAUGACGGUUUUCCCGUCACUUAUAGAUGAUUCCGCGUCGGAUUAGCUAGUUGGUAAGGUAACGGCUUACCAAGGCUACGAUGCGUAGCCGACCUGAGAGGAUGAUCGGCCACACUGGAACUGAGACACGGUCCAGACUCCUACGGGAGGCAGCAGUAGGGAAUCUUGGACAAAGGGCGCAAGCCUGAUGGAGCAACACCGCGUGAGUGAAGAAGGCCUUCGGGUCGUAAAACCCUUUUAUUGGGAAAGAACAAAAGUAUAAUAAACUAUGCACGUCUUGACGGUACCCAAAGAAAAAGCCACGGCUAACUUCGUG
rnacentral:rRNA from 1 species